rnacentral:rRNA from 1 species
CCUACGGGUGGCAGCAGUAGGGAAUCUUCCGCAAUGGGCGAAAGCCUGACGCAGCAACGCCGCGUGAGGGAUGAAGGUCUUCGGAUCGUAAACUCCUUUUGUUAGGGAAGAACAUGCCGGUAUCUAACGAAUAAGCUCCUGCCAACACCGGGCCAGCAGCCGCGGUAUUACGGCGGGUGCAAGCGUUACUCGGUAUGACGGGGCGUAAAGUGCGCGUAGGCGGGAUAGCAAGUCAGAUGUGAAAGCCUAUGGCUGAACCAUAGAUCUGCAUUGGAAACUGUAAAACUAGAGUUCGGAAGAGGAAGGUGGAAUUCUAGGUGUAGGGGUGAAAUCCGUAGAGAUCUAGAGGAACACUCGUUGCGAAGGCGACCUGCUAGAACAUAACUGACGCUGAUGCGCGAAAGCGUGGGGAGCAAACAGGAUUAGAUACCCGUGUAGUC